UCUACGUUGAGAAAGGGUCUUUGGCGACCCAAACUCUGGAACGGGAACUUUUAGGAUACUCAGUCACCGCAGAAGAGAGCCGGCCAAUCCCCAGCCUGCGGCGCGGUGAUGUCUCCGGUAGCUGGGGCCCACCUUUCCUGUGCGGGCGAAGGCCUCGGCCACCUUGCGGUUCCGCCCUCCAUAGCAGGUGGUGAUGAGAUCAGCAACACCGCAGCUCUCCAAGAAGGUGGCAGGGGACACAGGGCCACUGCAGAAGAGCUUGGUGAAGGCGAUCAUCUCCAUGAGCCCCAGUCGGAUCACGGCCGCCUUGGUGUUGUCGCCAAAGCCCAGCCCAUCACAGAAGCCAGCCCCCACGGCCACUAUAUUCUUUGAAGAGUGAAGUCACGGGUGAGGAAGGAUCCCCUCCAGCAGGCCCCACUUGGGGCCUUCAGCACCUGCCUCAUGCUUCUUCCAUCAGCCAUGACACGCCCACUGAAUAAGUGAAGGAAGGUGGGUGGGCUCCUCAACUAUUUUCACCUCUUGGUUUUCCCACUUGCUGCACUCCCUUCUUUUAGCCUGGGCUUGUGCUUUCUGGCUCCCCAACCCUGCCCUAUACUCCAUCCUUGAGGACUUUUCCUGAAAACCAGUCUUCUACCUGGCCCUCCCAACCACGGCUAUUUUGUUCUAUGCCCCCGAUAUCCAUCCAUAGGUCUGUCCAGGAUCCAGAGUCCUGGCCAUCAAUCCGUCUGGGUGUCCUGGACAUCUUAUCUCCCAUUAGCCUGAGUGCUCCCCCAGGGCAUCUCCUCUUCCCCCUGGACCAACCUUUGGAGCCAGGGACAGGGAUGUCCCACAAGGGGCUAUAGGGGAAAGGAAGAAGGAAGCCCAAUGUCUGAUGCCAAAGCUACCUGUGAGGAGAGCAGAUAACAUGUGAAAACGAAUCCAUCUGAAAACUCUCCUUCCACAACCUACUUCUCCAAGGUGACCCUUGAGCUGAUCACAGAUCUUGCCGAUGAACUGAUGGGGUACCACGAAGAUCAGGAUGUCAGCAUCCACUGCAGCCUGGACCACAUCUGGGAUAGCCACCUGUGGGGGUGACCAGUGUUCAUGGGCCUGACAGACUGCUUCUAGCCCCUGUGGAGCCCCAUGCAGGAGAUCUAGGAGACAGGGUGAGGCUGGUGGGGAAGAAGGAAGGGCAGUUUGGGGGUUGAAUCUGGAAGGGCUGAACCUGGAGGAACGAGACACUUCUAUUGCUUCCGCCUAGCCAUCAUUCCCUCUAGGUUGCAGCUGUCCUGGGCUCUUGAGGACUCCUGGAAACUCUUCUCAGCACUCUCCUAGCCCUUGGCUGUGGGACAGUGAGGGAGGCCAAAGGAGGUCUGGGCUUGGCAGGAGGAAGAGGCCAAGUAGGAUUUCAUCACCCUGCUCCUUAGGGCUCCCAACUGGGAAGGGAGAGCCCCAGUCUUCCUGCUCCCCCUUUCCAGGUGGGGAGUAAGCCACAUGGAUCUGACCAAAGACCUUAAGUCCAAGGAGCAGUCUCCACAUUUACUAAUAACCCAGUGAAUGAGUAACAGGGUUAGAGCCCGAGGCAGGCACUACCCAGACCCCAAGUCUGGGGGCCAGAGAACCUGUCUUUGGUUGCCACAGAGACCAACUUCUUCAUCCUCUCCCCGUCCCUUUCCUGCCUGGGAGCCCACCGGGUGGGGUGGAGAUGCAGGGGGAUGCAUUCAGGUUCUCCUCAGUCCCAGGAAGUGCUCAGGGCAGCAGUUUGGGGGCUGUGCCCAGGGACACCCUGUGCCUGGAGUAGCCCUCCUGAGAUGCUUCCCAAGUACAGGUGGCACGUGAAGUGGCCCCCUCCCAGCAGGAAGCACCCCCUCCACUUCCCUCUCCCUUCCUACAGGGUGUUGGGGCUCACCACAUUGGGGGGCAACUUGUGCCCUGGCAGGUAUUUGACAUUCUCAUGCUGUGUGUUGAUGACCUCUGUCAGUUUUCUGCCCCCGACGUCUUCCUCAAACACCCACAUGUUCACCCGUGGGUCAAAGCGUGCCAGCUGGGCUGCAUUGCUACCCACAAUCUUGGCGAUGGCUGAGCCCCUGGCAGGA